rnacentral:rRNA from 1 species
UAGGGUUUGAUCCUGGCUCAGAACGAACGCUGGCGGCAGGCUUAACACAUGCAAGUCGAGCGCUCUCUUCGGAGGGAGCGGCGGACGGGUGAGUAACGCGUGGGAACGUGCCCUUCUCUACGGAAUAGCCUCGGGAAACUGGGAUUAAUACCGUAUACGCCCUUAGGGGGAAAGAUUUAUCGGGGAAGGAUCGGCCCGCGUCUGAUUAGAUAGUUGGUGGGGUAAUGGCCUACCAAGUCGACGAUCAGUAGCUGGUUUGAGAGGAUGAUCAGCCACACUGGGACUGAGACACGGCCCAGACUCCUACGGGAGGCAGCAGUGGGGAAUCUUGGACAAUGGGGGCAACCCUGAUCCAGCCAUGCCGCGUGAGUGAUGAAGGCCUUAGGGUCGUAAAGCUCUUUCGCUAGGGAAGAUAAUGACGGUACCUAGUAAAGAAACCCCGGCUAACUCCGUGCCAGCAGCCGCGGUAAUACGGAGGGGGUUAGCGUUGUUCGGAAUUACUGGGCGUAAAGCGUACGUAGGCGGAUUAAUCAGUCAGAGGUGAAAUCCCAGGGCUCAACCCUGGAACUGCCUUUGAUACUGUUAGUCUUGAGGUCGAGAGAGGUGAGUGGAAUUCCGAGUGUAGAGGUGAAAUUCGUAGAUAUUCGGAGGAACACCAGUGGCGAAGGCGGCUCACUGGCUCGAUACUGACGCUGAGGUACGAAAGUGUGGGGAGCAAACAGGAUUAGAUACCCUGGUAG